GACGAACGCUGGCGGCGUGCUUAACACAUGCAAGUCGAACGGAAAGGCCCUGCUUUUGUGGGGUGCUCGAGUGGCGAACGGGUGAGUAACACGUGAGUAACCUGCCCUUGACUUUGGGAUAACUUCAGGAAACUGGGGCUAAUACCGGAUAGGAGCUCCUGCUGCAUGGUGGGGGUUGGAAAGUUUCGGCGGUUGGGGAUGGACUCGCGGGUUAUCAGCUUGUUGGUGGGGUAGUGGCUUACCAAGGCUUUGACGGGUAGCCGGCCUGAGAGGGUGACCGGCGACAUGGGGACUGAGAUACGGCCCAGACUCCUACGGGAGGCAGCAGGGGGGAGUAUUGCACAAUGGGCGGAAGCCUGAUGCAGCAACGCCGCGUGCGGGAUGACGGCCUUCGGGUUGUAAACCGCUUUCGCCUGUGACGAAGCGUGAGUGACGGUAAUGGGUAAAGAAGCACCGGCUAACUACGUG
rnacentral:rRNA from 1 species